AUGGUACUCCCUCCAUCCGGAAUUACUUGUCGCUUAAAUGGAUGUAUCUAGCACUAAAAUACGUCUAGAUACAUCCGUUUGACCGACAAGUAGUUCCGGACUGAGGAAGUAAUUA
rfam:Triticum urartu cultivar G1812 contig148788, whole genome shotgun sequence.